rnacentral:rRNA from 1 species
CACAAGCGGUGGAUGAUGUGGAUUAAUUCGAUGACAACGCGAAAACCUUACCUACCCUUGACAUGUCCGGAAUCCCGAAGAGAUUUGGGAGUGCUCGCAAGAGAACCGGAACACAGGUGCUGCAUGGCUGUCGUCAGCUCGUGUCGUGAGAUGUUGGGUUAAGUCCCGCAACGAGCGCAACCCUUGUCAUUAGUUGCCAUCAUUUGGUUGGGCACUCUAAUGAGACUGCCGGUGACAAACCGGAGGAAGGUGGGGAUGACGUCAAGUCCUCAUGGCCCUUAUGGGUAGGGCUUCACACGUCAUACAAUGGUCGGUACAGAGGGUUGCCAACCCGCGAGGGGGAGCUAAUCCCACAAAGCCGAUCGUAGUCCGGAUCGCAGUCUGCAACUCGACUGCGUGAAGUCGGAAUCGCUAGUAAUCGUGGAUCAGCAUGUCACGGUGAAUACGUUCCCGGGUCUU